UGGGGAAUUUUGGACAAUGGGCGAAAGCCUGAUCCAGCAAUGCCGCGUGUGUGAAGAAGGCCUUCGGGUUGUAAAGCACUUUUGUCCGGAAAGAAAUCCUUGGCUCUAAUACAGUCGGGGGAUGACGGUACCGGAAGAAUAAGCACCGGCUAACUACGUGCCAGCAGCCGCGGUAAUACGUAGGGUGCAAGCGUUAAUCGGAAUUACUGGGCGUAAAGCGUGCGCAGGCGGUUUGCUAAGACCGAUGUGAAAUCCCCGGGCUCAACCUGGGAACUGCAUUGGUGACUGGCAGGCUAGAGUAUGGCAGAGGGGGGUAGAAUUCCACGUGUAGCAGUGAAAUGCGUAGAGAUGUGGAGGAAUACCGAUGGCGAAGGCAGCCCCCUGGGCCAAAUACUGACGCUCAUGCACGAAAGCGUGGGGAGCAAACAGGAUUAGAUACCCUGGUAGUCCACGCCCUAAACGAUGUCAACUAGUUGUUGGGGAUUCAUUUCCUUAGUAACGUAGCUAACGCGUGAAGUUGACCGCCUGGGGAGUACGGUCGCAAGAUUAAAACUUAAAUGAAUUGACGGGGUCAUA
rnacentral:rRNA from 1 species